rnacentral:rRNA from 1 species
UGGGGAAUUUUGGACCAUGGGGGAAACCCUGAUCCAGCCAUCCCGCGUGUGCGAUGAAGGCCUUCGGGUUGUAAAGCACUUUUGGCAGGAAAGAAACGUCAUGGGUUAAUACCCCGUGAAACUGACGGUACCUGCAGAAUAAGCACCGGCUAACUACGUGCCAGCAGCCGCGGUAAUACGUAGGGUGCAAGCGUUACUCGGAAUUACUGGGCGUAAAGCGUGCGCAGGCGGUUCGGAAAGAAAGAUGUGAAAUCCCAGAGCUCAACUUUGGAACUGCAUUGUAAACUACCGGGCUAGGGUGUGUCGGAGGGAGGUGGAAUUCCGCGUGUGGCAGUGAAAUGCGUAGAUAUGCGGAGGAACUCGGAUGGCGAAGGCAGCCUCCUGGGAUAACACUGACGCUCAUGCACGAAAGCGUGGGGAGCAAACAGG